rnacentral:rRNA from 1 species
UACGUAGGGUGCGAGCGUUGUCCGGAAUUAUUGGGCGUAAAGAGCUCGUAGGCGGUUUGUCACGUCUGCUGUGAAAUCCCGAGGCUCAACCUCGGGCCUGCAGUGGGUACGGGCAGACUGGAGUGCGGUAGGGGAGAAUGGAAUUCCUGGUGUAGCGGUGGAAUGCGCAGAUAUCAGGAGGAACACCAGUGGCGAAGGCGGUUCUCUGGGCAUUACCUGACGCUGAGGAGCGAAAGUGUGGGGAGCGAACAGG